rnacentral:rRNA from 1 species
AUUGAACGCUGGCGGCAUGCCUUACACAUGCAAGUCGAACGGCAGCACGGGAGCAAUCCUGGUGGCGAGUGGCGAACGGGUGAGUAAUAUAUCGGAACGUGCCCAGUCGUGGGGAUAACGUAGCGAAAGCUACGCUAAUACCGCAUACGAUCUAUGGAUGAAAGCGGGGGAUCGCAAGACCUCGCGCGAUUGGAGCGGCCGAUAUCAGAUUAGGUAGUUGGUGAGGUAAAGGCUCACCAAGCCGACGAUCUGUAGCUGGUCUGAGAGGACGACCAGCCACACUGGGACUGAGACACGGCCCAGACUCCUACGGGAGGCAGCAGUGGGGAAUUUUUGGACAAUGGGCGCAAGCCUGAUCCAGCAAUGCCGCGUGCAGGAUGAAGGCCUUCGGUUGUAACUGCUUUGUACGGUAACGAAAGGUACC